UCGCUCUUCAACGAGGAAUCCCUAGUAAGCACAAGUCACCAGCUUGUGCUGAUUACGUCCCUGCCCUUUGUACACACCGCCCGUCGCUACUACCGAUUGAAUGGCUUAGUGAGGCCCUCGGAUCGACUUUCUGAGACUGGCAACAGUCUUUGAUUGUUGAGAAGUUGGUCAAACUUGGUCAUUUAGAGGAAGUAAAAGUCGUAACAAGGUUUCCGUAGGUGAACCUGCGGAAGGAUCAUUAUUAUUUGGAUAGGGUUUAGCACUAAUUCGUCCUCUGUUGUAUUUGGUGGUAAACCUCUUCCAAAUAUAUUGUUUUUGUUACUCUUUUUUUUUAAAAAAAGGAGCAAGAUGAUAUAUAUUUAAAACCCAACUCUUAUAUAUAAAAUAUGUAUAUUUUUGAAUAAUAAAAUUAAAGAUCACUUUCAACAACGGAUCUCUUGGCUCUCGCAUCGAUGAAGAACGUAGCGAAGUGCGAUAAGUAAUGUGAAUUGCAGAAUUCCGUGAAUCAUCGAAUCUUUGAACGCAAAUUGCACUUUCUGGUAUUCCGGAAAGUAUGCCUGUUUGAGGGUCAGUUAAAUAAAAAUCGGUGUUAUUGCUUAUUUAAUGGUGAUGCAUCAGAAUUGAGUCGUCUUUACCUUUGGUUUUAAGUGACUUAAAAAUUUUGUACGAUUUUUGAACGUAUUUAAAUUUUUUACGUACGUUUAUAAUAUCAUAUAUUAGGCGUGGUCAUUUUUAUGACUUCGCGUCUAUAAUUUUUCAUUAUUUGACCUCAAAUCAGGUAAGAAUACCCGCUGAACUUAAGCAUAUCAAUAAGCGGAGGAAAAGAAAAUAACAAUGAUUCCCUUAGUAACGGCGAGUGAAGGGGGAUAAGCUCAAAUUUUAAAUCUGCUAGGUUUUACUUAUCAGAGUUGUAAUUUGAAGAAGCGUUUUCCGCGUCUCGGUUGACCCAAAUCCUUUGGGAUAUGGUAUCAUGGAGGGUGAGAAUCCCGUCCGGUUGACUUUGUGACGCUUUACGAUACGUUUUCAAAGAGUCGAGUUGUUUGGGAUUGCAGCUCAAAAUGGGAGGUAAAUUUCUCCUAAGGCUAAAUAUUGGCGAGAGACCGAUAGCGAACAAGUACCGUGAGGGAAAGAUGAAAAGAACUUUGAAAAGAGAGUAAAAUAGUACGUGAAAUUGUUGAAAGGGAAACGAUUGAAGUCAGUCGUACCGACGGAAAAUCAACUCUUCGAGUGUGGACUUUGUGGACGUGCGUGAGUUUUUAACGGCCUCGCUGUUUGUAACGUUUGUGCUUUUUGGGUGUACUUUUUCGUAUGGUAGGCCAACAUCAGUUUUGAUCACUAUAAAAUGACCGGAGGAAUGUAGCUUCGAUCUCGUAUUGAAGUGUUAUAGCCUUUGGUAGAUGUGGUGAUCGAGACUGAGGAUUGCAACGAAUAUCCUUUGGGCUAUCCGUCUGAUCUCUGAAAGUCGCUUAGGUGCCGAAAGCUUGCUUACGGUCAUUUAAGUUUGACGGUCAAAAGGUUAGAACGUGAUUACAUUCGUUAAGGAUGUUGGCGUAAUGGCUUUAAACGACCCGUCUUGAAACACGGACCAAGGAGUCUAACAUAUGUGCGAGUGUUU
rnacentral:rRNA from 1 species